AUCGCUUCUCGGCCUUUUGGCAAAAAUCAAGUGCAGUAUCUGUUCUUAUCAGUUUAAUAUCUAAAAAGAAAAGGGGUGUGGGUGUGUGCAUAAGGUUUAUAUUUAUUAUAUUUAUAUUUAUAUUUUAUAAGGCCUCCUGCAUUCCAAGUGUUUUCUGUGUGUUGACUCUUUAAUGCACACAGGUU